UACGUAGGGGGCAAGCGUUGUCCGGAUUUAUUGGGCGUAAAGAGCGUGUAGGCGGUUUGGUAAGUCCGCUGUGAAAACUCGAGGCUCAACCUCGAGACGCCGGUGGAAACCAUCAGGCUAGAGUCCGGAAGAGGAGAGUGGAAUUCCUGGUGUAGCGGUGAAAUGCGCAGAUAUCAGGAAGAACACCCGUGGCUAAGGCGGCUCUCUAGUACGGUACUGACGCUGAGACGCGAAAGCGUGGGGAGCGAACAGG
rnacentral:rRNA from 1 species